UUAGUGAUAUAUAGAAGUCCCUGAUCUCCUUCUUCAAAUCUGCUGGAUCAGUUAUCUUCAGUCCUCCUUCUGUGGAGAGUUCAAUAAUCUUCUUAUACUUAUUUCUCUCCUUCAUGACUGCUGAGAAAUACUUGUUAUUGGAGUCACCAUGUUUGAUCCAUUUAGCUCUUGACUUUUGUUGCAAAGCUGACUCUUCAAUUAAGGACCACUUUU
rnacentral:lncRNA from 1 species